rnacentral:lncRNA from 1 species
AAAAAAAGGAUCCAAGAUAGUGAUGACAAUGGACCAGAUAGGUAUUUAUUUAUUGCUCAAAAGAGUUUUUAACUUUAUCCAGAGUUGUUUGUUGCUUGGCCUUAGUUAAAUCACUCAUAUUGAGUAACAACUUUAAGAUUUAGAAUUGACUCAAAAUGGAAAAGAAAGGAAAGACUGUAUUUUUGUGAAUUCGGAUUGAUUUUGGUUUACUUAUAUUUAUAUUUGUUAUUUAACCAAUAUACAUUACUUAAAAAAGUUUUUAAGUAUAUCUAUAUUGUAAAUGUAUAU